rnacentral:lncRNA from 1 species
AACAGCAGGAGUGUUUGUGAGUGGUCAGGCAGGGAACACUGACACUGGAGCGCGUGUGCACGAGAGGACUCCAUUUUUUUCUUUCUCUCUUUGAACAAAUACAACGUCGCCCGGUUGGAAUAUUAUCGCUAUUUUAUGAGAAAAAUCGCAUAAAAAUUGGUUUUAAACAGCGUUUGACAUGCUUCGAAGUACGGUAAUGGAAUAUUUUGACAUUUCUUGUCACGAAAUGCGCCUGCGCGUCACCCUUCGGAUACUGACCUCAACGCACGAACAAAACGGAGCUAUUUCAAUAUAACUAUGGAUUAUUUCGAACCAAAACAACAUUUGUUGUUGAAGUAGAAGUCCUGGGAGUGCAUUCUGACGAAGAACAGCAAAGGUUUGAGGAGAGAGGGGAGACAGGAGGCGAAAAGGGGUUCCCGGUAGCGUUUUCAUCAAAGGCUUUUCCGUCAGCACUUCAGAGUGGCCGUCAGUAUGGAAAUGUGUUGUGCUGCCUGGAAAGCUGUCAGAGAACACAUAUCUUGGAUGGGACCCUGCUAAUUCAACUGGGCUCCUGUCGGCUAUGUUCUCUGGUCCCCUCAUUAUGCACUGUGAGAUGGUAGGGGUCUCUCUCUCACUCUCUCUCUCUCUGUAGUUCACUCUCUCACUGUUUAAUCUGUCAGAUACCUCUCCAACCCAUUGUUUUUUCACCCACACCUUGUGUGUUAGUUGUUAACAUCAAAAGGAACUGUCUCAAUGUCAUGGCAGGUAAAAAGAAUGUAGGCCUAGAGAUGAACAAGGAAGACUUGAGGAAGGUGACAAUUGAAUAUGUUUACUUGUGACGGGAGAUGUGCAGGUGAGAAGAGACUUCACUUGACUGGGCCGCUCCAGGGUAAACACACACACACACACACACACACAGUUGUAAGGAGGCCAUUAACUGACAGCCUAGUUCCUGCUCUGCUCUCCAGGUUGAACGACAAAAGAAAAAAAAACAACAACAUGAAAUUCCAAAUACUUAGAUCAAAGAAGAAUAAAUAAACCAGUAACACGAGCAUGUUGACUGUCAGAAAAGAGCAUUUGACUAUUCAAAAUAACACCUUCUUCUUGGGGCCACUUCCUGUCAUGACAUUUGUACUUUGAGCAGAACUGGAGAAUAUUGUAGGUUUUUAAUAGGUCGCCAAAAAAAAAAGAUAAAGCUAAAUACAUUCUGAAAUAUAUGAUGCUUUGAGUUUAUGUCUGUGGUCUUGUUUUAAACAUUAUUCAGUAGCAAAGACAUUCGGUUGCGGUUUUAUUUCAUGUUUAUGUGACAAUAUGAACAAUGCAUUAUAUUGAGUAUUUGUAUAGAUGGGUUAGCUGACAACGUUACCAAAAGAACGAUGUGCAGGCUUCAAUGGGGCUGAAGUCUGGGAGGUGUUAUAUUCCUGGAGGGACAGAUAGAUACCAACAAUGAGAAGAAGAAAAUUGUGGGGAAUCGUAAGUGACUCGUUUCAGCUAGUUUCAUCUUGUUCUUGAUGCCAUGUCUUGUUUUGAGAUGUUUUGAUUCAUUUCAUGUCAAUGCUAAUGUGGUUAAAAUUCACUAGCUAGCUAACCAACAACUGUAACCAUGUAUUUGAGAGACAACAAGUGGUUAUUGUGAACAUUUAUUUCUGUUUUCAAUCAACACUGGAGACUAAAUAUAGCUGACAUGUUGUCAACAGUCUAAGCCAACCCUGUCUGUUCGUCACCAUAGUGUUACGCACGUCGGUUUUGUUGCUAAACAACCAACCCGUCUAUAAUCAAAUGAUGAAACGUGCAUUUUGACAAACAGGAAUAAGCAUGUCUUUGGCAUGUUUAGAUGUAUAAGGAUAGAGCCAGCUCUCAGCCAGCUCUGGGCCGUUGUGCAGUAAAUUAUAUAUAACACCUGUAUGUGGGUGUUAUAACACAUCUGUUGAUAUCUAACGCUUAUAUGGGGUGUUAUAACACAUCUGUUGAUAUCUAACACUUAUAUGGGGUGUUACAACACAUCUGAUGAUAUCUAACACUUAUAUGGGGUGUUAUAACACAUCUGAUGAUAUCUGGCACCUAUAUGGGGGUGUUAUAACAUAUCUGUUGAUAUCUAACACAAGAUGGGGGUAUUAUAACACAUCUGUUGAUAUCUAACACUUAUAUGGGGUGUUAUAACACAUCUGAUGAUAUCUAACACCAUAUGGGGGUGUUAUAACACAUCUGUUGAUAUCUAACACUUAUAUGGGGUGUUAUAACACAUCUGUUGAUAUCUAACACUUAUAUGGGGUGUUAUAACACAUAUGUUGAUAUCUAACACUUAUAUGGGGUGUUAUUACACAUCUGAUGAUAACUGGCACCUAUAUGGGGUUGUUAUAACACAUCUGUUGAUAUCUAACACUUAUAUGGGGUGUUAUAACACAUCUGUUGAUAUCUAACACCUAUAUGGGGUUGUUAUAACACAUCUGUUGAUAUCUAACACAUAUUUGGGGGUAUUAUAACACAUCUGUUGAUAUCUAACACAUGUAUGGGGUGUUAUAACACAUCUGUUGAUAUCUAACACAUAUGUGGGGGUGUUAUAACACAUCUGUUGAUAUCUAACACCUUUAUGGGGUGUUAUAAUACAUCUGUUGAUAUCUAACACAUAUUUGGGGGUGUUAUAACACAUCUGUUGAUAUCUAACACCUAUAUGGGGUGUUAUAACACAUCUGUUGAUAUCUAACACCUGUAUGGGGUGUUAUAUUACAUCUGUUGAUAUCUAACACAUAUUUGGGGGUAUUAUAACACAUCUGUUGAUAUCGAACACCUAUAUGGGGUGUUAUAACACAUCUGUUGAUAUCUAAUACCUAUAUGGGGGUGUUAUAACACAUCUGAUGAUAUCUAACACCUAUAUGGGGGUGUUAUAACACAUCGGAUGAUAUCUAAUACCUAUAUGGGGGUGUUAUAACACAUCUGUUGAUAUCUAAUACUUAUAUGGGGGUGUUAUAACACAUCGGAUGAUAUCUAACACCUAUAUGGGGGUGUUAUAACACAUCUGAUGAUAUCUAACACCUACAUGGGGGUGUUAUAACACAUCGGAUGAUAUCUAACACCUAUAUGGGGGUGUUAUAACACAUCUGUUGAUAUUUAACACCUAUAUGGGGGUGUUAUAACACAUCUGAUGAUAUCUAACACCUAUAUGGGGGUGUUAUAACACAUCUGAUGAUAUCUAAUACCUAUAUGGGGGUGUUAUAACACAUCUGUUGAUAUCUAACACCAUUCGUUCUUGAUACACACGAAAAACUGUUGAGCGUGAAAAACCCAGUAUCAUAGCAGUUCUGAAACAAACCGGUGUGCCAGGCACCUACUACCAAUCCCCCCGUUCAAAAGCACUUAAAUAUUUUGUCUUGAACAUUCACACUCCGAAUGGCACACAUGCACAAUCCAUGUCUCAAUUGUCUAAAGGCUUCAAAAUCCUUCUUUACCCUGUCUCCUCCCCUUCAUCUACACUGAUUGAAGUGGAUUUAACACCUGGAUUCACCUGGUCAGUCUAUGUCAUAAAAAGAGCAGCUGUUCACCAUGUUUUGUAUCCUCAGUGUAUGAAACACACAGCAGUCUUGAACCUUAAACAUUGUCCUUUUCAAUAUAAUUGUAUUGUAUUCCUCUAUAAAAAGACAAGUCCUGCCAGCAAAACCCUCAUCACUGAUGACUCUGUACUGGUACUCACUGUAUAGAGCUUCGCUAUUGUUAUUUUACUGCUGCUCUUUAAUUAUUUGUUACUUUUAUUUUAUUUAUUUUUAAUUUAAUAAAACUUUAUUGUUGGUUAAGGGCUGGUAAGUAAGCAUUUCACUGUAAGGUCUAUUUGGCACAUGUGACAAAUACAAUUUGAUUUGAUUUGACUCAACGACUAGGCAUUCAUUUUUUAACUGAGGCUCAAACAUACAGUCUGACUUCUAAAAGGUCUUACUUUGAAAAGAGAUACAGCUGUUAGUGAGGGUUUCUACUUGCUCUAACUGUACGUCUUCUUCCCUAUUUCCUUGUUAUAUCCUGUUAGCGUUCUACAGAUAGAGACGUUUUGUUGCCAUGCUGUGAUCACAACACCACGUAUUGAUUGGAUACAAGGAGGACAUUUUCACAAAAGGCCUCCUGUUGCGAGCUCCCAGCUAAAUACUACAGAGAAUAUCUGUGACCUUUUAGCAGUAUCUUAAACCUUUCUGGAGGCAGCACCAAGGUGAGCUGAGGGGAACAGGGGAGCUCAGCUCCUCGGGGAGGGGGAGAGCAAAUUAAAGCUCACCUCAGGAACCGUGCCACCCCUGGCACUGUCCUGAUGCAACAGCUGCAGAUACAAAAACCAUCAUCUGACAUCCUGACACACGUCUGUGCCAGGUGGGUUGGGCGGGCUGGGUGUGCUGGGCAGGCGAGUCGGGCCAACUAGCCAAUGCCAGCUCUCAGGCACCCAGGGCUCCUAGUCGUGCCAGUCCCAGCCUUAAGCAAAACAAGUGUACAACAUCCUGUAUCUGGUCCUGAGGGGGACUGGGGUACGAGGUAGAGGCACCAACAGAGACCGCUGCCGAAAAUAACAAAAGGAGGUUAUGGGUCCUGCUGAGAAGCUCUUUCGUAAUAUUUUAGAUGAAGUAGACCUGCAAGUUGACUGCAAAUUACCUCUAAUGUCUCUCCUAGACUGCAGGACACAGGCAGGCUGGAGAAAUUAUUUAUUCUGUUUUUUGGGGGUGGGUAAAGAAUAACUCCCUUUCAUUGUAAACCCAGGGAGGUAGUUCUGUUGAUGUAUCACUACACCUCCCUCAUCAUCCCUCAUCAUCAUCACCUGGAUAUCCUUCAUCAAGCCCUUUAUAUCUAGGUAUCACCUGGAUAUCCUUCAUCCAGCCCUUUAUAUCUAUGUAUCACCUGGAUAUCCUUCAUCCAGCCCUUUAUAUCUAUGUAUCACCUGGAUAUCCUUCAUCCAGCCCUUUAUAUCUAUGUAUCACCUGGAUAUCCUUCAUCCAGCCCUUUAUAUCUAGGUAUCACCUGGAUAUCCUUCAUUCAGCCCUUUAUAUCUAUGUAUCACCUGGAUAUCCUUAUUUCAUUUUUAAACUACUAAAAUAGGCGUAUUUGUAUUUCCUAUUAUAUCAAUUAUAAUCCAUGAAAUGUACGAGAAAACAGAAAGUGUUCGAGGACGGAAUAAUAUUUUGGACAUGUCACGUGUACGGAGAGAAACGGAGAGAGAUAAAGAUCUGCUUAUAACUUAGGUGGCAGAUGCCAGUUUGGAUCAUUAGUCGCUGUCCUCCUGCUGCUCAGGUCCGAGUGCAUGCUGCCUCUGUCCAAUGAGGCGCUGCAACACCACCUGAUGCACAUAUACUGUACAUACACACAUACACACAAACACACACACACACACCUUGCACAUAGACACACACACCUUGCACACACACUUCCCAUGAGAUCACCAAGGCAG